UGAACCCCUCGGAGUAGAAGAAGGAGAAGUCGUAACAAAGUUUUUGUAGGUGAACCUGCGAAAGGAUCCUUAU
rnacentral:rRNA from 1 species